GUAACAAGGUCUCCGUAGGUGAACCUGCGGAGGGAUCAUUACUGAGUUUUUAACUCUCCAAACCAUGUGAACUUACCACUGUUGCCUCGGUGGUCGGUGCUGGAAACAGUGCUGCCACCGGUGGACUACUAAACUCUUGUUAAUUUUUGUCAAAUCUGAAUCAAACUAAGAAAUAAGUUAAAACUUUCAACAACGGAUCUCUUGGUUCUGGCAUCGAUGAAGAACGCAGCGAAAUGCGAUAAGUAAUGUGAAUUGCAGAAUUCAGUGAAUCAUCGAAUCUUUGAACGCACAUUGCGCCCAUUAGUAUUCUAGUGGGCAUGCCUGUUCGAGCGUCAUUUCAACCCUUAAGCCUAGCUUAGUGUUGGGAGACUGCCUAAUACGCAGCUCCUCAAAACCAGUGGCGGAGUCUGUUCGUGCUCUGAGCGUAGUAAUUUUUUAUCUCGCUUCUGCAAGCCGGCCAGACGACAGCCAUAAACCGCACCCUCUCGGGGGGCACUUUUUUAAUGGUUGACCUCGGAUCAGGUAGGAAUACCCGCUGAACUUAAGCAUAUCAU
rnacentral:sRNA from 1 species